AGUGAACGCUGGCGGUAGGCCUAACACAUGCAAGUCGAACGGCAGCACAGGAGAGCUUGCUCUCUGGGUGGCGAGUGGCGGACGGGUGAGGAAUACAUCGGAAUCUACUCUGUCGUGGGGGAUAACGUAGGGAAACUUACGCUAAUACCGCAUACGACCUACGGGUGAAAGCAGGGGAUCUUCGGACCUUGCGCGAUUGAAUGAGCCGAUGUCGGAUUAGCUAGUUGGCGGGGUAAAGGCCCACCAAGGCGACGAUCCGUAGCUGGUCUGAGAGGAGGAUCAGCACAACUGGAACUGAGACACGGUCCAGACUCCUACGGGAGGAAGCAGUGGGGAAUAUUGGACAAUGGGCGCAAGCCUGAUCCAGCCAUACCGCGUGGGUGAAGAUGGCCUUCGGGUUGUAAAGCCCUUUUGUUGGGAAAGAAAUCCAGCUGGCUAAUACCCGGUUGGGAUGACGGUACCCAAAGAAUAAGCACCGGCUAACUUCGUGCCAGCAGCCGCCGUAA
rnacentral:rRNA from 1 species